AGCCCCUCCGCCGCUGCGGACAGCGGAAGCGGCCAACCGCGAGACGCUGACGUAAAACAGCCGGGUGGUGGUGUCGCCCACGUGACUGAGCCUCGACCAAUCACAGAUCGCAUCUCGUGCGCCCUCAGGCGGGCGGGCUGCACGGGAGUCUGGGGGCGGGGUUUCGAGGCCCGCACGCCUUGCGCCUGCGUGCGGGUUGAACAGUGUGGUCGGGUGGGUGCCGGCUGGCCCCGCCCCUUAGGCGAGGCUCCGCUGUGUUGGCGCCAUUUUGAGGCAAAGAGGAGCCAGGGAGGCUGCGGUGGGGUGCGCAGAUGGCCUGAUCUGUAAUGCAGGGUGGCUUGAACUCACUAUGGAGCCCAGGCUGGCCUUGAACUCAGUGAUCUCCUGCCUCAGUCUCCAGAGUGCUGAGAUUACAGAUUUCCUAAAAUGACAACCUGGGACCUCCAGAGAGGAAAGGGCUGUCCUGGCUUUGCAUUUUUGUUUUGUUUGUUUGUUUUGAGGCAAAGUGUCACUGGGUAGCUCAGAAUACCCUGGAACUUGCAGCAACCCUCCUGCUUCAGCCUCCUGAGUGCUGGGUUACUGUCUGCUGUGCUGUGGGCUCUUUCUCCUCUGCUGUGUCACCCUGUGUCACAGCCAGCCGACUAUGGACUGAUCUCUCUACACCCUGUGAGCCAAAAUAAACCUGUUGUCAUUUGC